UCGAUUUUACAUAAAUAUCGA
rnacentral:piRNA from 1 species